UAUAUUUGCCGUUCAAUUCUGAAAAUCAGGGUUAUUACAUAAAAAUUAUUAAAAUAAUAUUGGAAUG
ncrna:unclassified sequences S15-Flavobacteria ribosomal protein leader